rnacentral:rRNA from 1 species
AUUGAACGCUGGCGGCACGCCUAACACAUGCAAGUCGACCGCGCACCGGACGGUUGAGUAACGUACGGGAAACUGCCUGUUGGAGAGGGAUCACUACUGGAAACGUUAGCCAAUACCGCAUACCAUCAGAUGUGCCCAGAUGGGAUUAGCUGGUAGGUUGGGUAACGGCUCACCUAGUCAGCGAUCCCUAGCUGGUCGGAGAGGAUGAACAGCCACACUGGAGCUGAGACACGGUCCAGACUCCUACGGGAGGCAGCAGUGGGGAAUAUUUCACAAUGGGCGAAAGCCUGACCGAGCCAUGCCGCGUGUAUGAAGAAGGUCUUCGGAUUGUAAAAUACUAUGAGCGGAGAAGCGUUACCCACACAAAGAGCACCGGCUAACUACAUGCCAGCAGCCGCGGUAAUUC